AUGGGGGUGGACACCUCUUUCAAACUCUGUCUCUCUCUUUUUCUCACGUCAUAUUUAAUGACCAGACAAAGGUCUGGUGUUUAUGAGGAAGAGGUAUGGACCCCUAAAUCAGUUUGUUUGCUGGUUUCGCCCGUGGAAAUGAUACUGCGUGCUGCACAGAGAGGGACCAUUCAGAUGCAGAUUUAAAACAGACUGCGAAACACUGUGUAUACAGUAUACUAUGCAUGUUUUCACUCGCUACAUGGUAAGAAUAAUGGCAUCUAUGCUAAUAUUAGUCUCUUUCAUUCUUAUUCUUAGGUCACCGUAGCCAUACGGAUCCAGUCUGUAUCCAGAUCAGAUGGUCAUCAUAGCCGCCCAUAUCCAGAACAAUCAGCCCUGCAUUAAAGCAUUAAUGUUGAGUUUUAUUAUUUUUGUAAAUUGUACUCUAUUCACAGAUUGGAUUUUUAUUUAUUACAGUUUUUCACUUCUGAAAAGUGAAAAGUUAAUACAAAUUAUACUUGACUGAUUUACAGCAGUGAAUUAAUGCCAUUAAAAGAUAAUAAGGUAUCACUGUUUAUUGCUGAUUUUAAAGCUUACUGAACUUUAAAUGAUUUGGACAUCUACAGUUCUACAUAUACUGUAAAUGCACAACAUAAGAUUGGCCCCUCUUAGAAUCUCCCCUGGAUACCUGCAAUGCUAUGGUCUUUGUGUAGAUUAGGGGUGCACGAUAAAUAUCGGCCGAUAAUUAAUGCGCAUGCCGUCAGUAAAGCCGGUUCUCUAAUCAGCGGUAAAUUACAUCAGGUGCUUGAUUUCACAUAGAGCAGUUGUUACUACACAAGGCCAUUGUUAACUGACAAGCUGCGCAAAUCCAUGCUGAAAACUGGCUUUACUGAAGAGAUGCGCAUUAAUUAUCGGCCGAUAUUUAUCAUGCACCCCUAGUGUAGGUAUUUAAAGAUGGCCAUCUUUAAGCAUGACUUGAAAUGAAAUGGUAACACUCCAUUUGUUACGUUAACCACAACAGCUAAACUCUGUCUACACUGGAUGUGAUAAAGUGACUGUUGCAAAUCAUUUGAAUUUUGUGUCAGUAAAUCACCGCAUCAGAUCCAGUGUAGACAGCAUUACUGAUUUUAAUGGGUUCUAUAGUAUUUUGUUGCAUCGUGCUGUGCCGGAGAAGACACGGUUUAAGACUAUGUUUUUUAAAUAUGAC
ensembl:lncRNA